GCCCCACAGCCCCACAGCCCUGCCCCAGACCACAGCUGUGCUGUUUUCUGCUCUUUGCAGGAUAGGGGUGUCAGCUGUACAGAAAUGGGGUUCUGUGAUCACACUGUCUUGGCCACCAGGUUCCAGAUGCUACCAUGAUGCCAACUGGACUUCCCUGGGCAGACAACCCCACCAAUGUGUCCUGGAGCCCCGCUUCCCCAGAGCCCUGCCCCACCAGGGAAAGAGAGAGACAGGUUGAGAGUAUGGAUUGAUCUGUCAAUGCCCAUGUUCAUAGGGGAAGCAAUUACAGAAACCAGAGUUUCCACAUACUGUACCCCACAAUGACCCUGGGUCCGUACUCCCAUGGGGUUAAAGAACAAGAAAGCUACCAGGGGAGGGGAGGGGAUACAGAGCUCUGGUGGUGGGAAUUGUACCCCUCUUAUCCUAUGGUCUUGUCAGUGUUUCCAUUUUAUAAAUAGAUUUUUUAAAUGAAAAUAAUAAAAAUUUAAAAAUAAAUUAAUUAAAAAUAUAAAUAAAUAAAAUAGAAAAAUAUUUUAAAAGAAA